rnacentral:snoRNA from 1 species
GCUGGCAUAGAUGAUGACUGAAAUUCUUUCCCCGACAGAUCGAUCAUGUUGAUCUAAGUUUUUUAAGCCAGUUUCUGUCUGAUACCGCCAGU